rnacentral:lncRNA from 1 species
CCAUGCAGAACAGGUCCCUCUUGUGUUGGUUAUGAAGAUUGUCUUGUAUCUGCUUCUCAGAGCAUGGGAACCAAUUCUGUGAGUCCAUUGGCAUUGCAGCCAGAGUUCUGCUCUUCAUUUAUACCAUCAUCACCAUCUCCACCACUACCACCAUCACAUUCUACCAUCAUCAUCACCAUCUCCACCACUACCACCACCAUCACCACUAACACUAUAAUCUUACCAUCUUGACUGUUAGCAUCUAAUGUGAGUGUGGAAAGUCAUAAUGGAAAGACUAUUUAAAACCAUGUGCUGGGCUAAUUCAGUUGAUUGACUGCAUGUCUAGCAUGGCCAAAACCCUGGGCUCAGUGUCCAAAAGCGUGAACACUGGUGUGGAGGCAUACCCCUAGGGAGGCAGAGGCAGGCAGGUGAGAAGUUCGUGUCAGCGUUGGCUGCCUACUUAGUUGAAGACCCUGUUUUCAAAAAACAAACCAUUUGUCCAGAUAGAGGUGACUUGCUUGGAAUUCACUAUGGGAACCCCAAUGACCUUGACAUUUCUGUGGUCAUCCUGUCUCUUGACUGCCAAAGUCACAGGUGUGCACCAGUACGCCCAACUCAAAAUCCAUUCUUCACAUGUUGCUUCUUCAGAAAUUCUUACAGAGAACGAAGAAGAUGUAAUUGAGGCAAAGUGGGUGUGCUGUGAAUGGAUGUAAGGGUUGAGUUGUUGGCCGGCUGUGUAUGUCAUCAAGCAACCAACUACAAAAUGAAAAACAUGUCAGUAAUAUUUUUUAGCUUGGAAUUAUGUGCCAAGUGAAAUUAUGUUUACUUUUGUCUUUGAUGUUGUCCCCUCAUUUUGUGGCAGCAUCUUGAGUGAGUCAAUCGAUCAGAACUUCGGAUUCUCCUGCCCCACCUUCCCAAGUGCAACACUUCACUCGGCUGCCUGUCCAUUUCCCCAUCUUCUGAAGCUGAGGCCCCUAGACCUUCCUCUGCAUGCUGAAACCUGCUCCAUCUGCAUCCAGGGCUGGGCUGCCUGGCUCCCACAGGUGAGGAUGUCUACAGAAGCUUGCUUGGGAUAUUCCCUCUACCCACUUCCAAUGUCCGGCUCUUGUCUAUGUCUCCAGACCUGGAAGAAAAACCCACCCCUAGGAUAUGGGGCUGGAAAACUUGGAGGUCUUCAUAGGAUCAUGAGAUACCCCUGCCUCAGCCUCAUGAGUGCUGGGAUUUCAGGGCACGACAUCAAAUGCAGGAUUUGA